CUUCUGCUCAGUGAUGAAAACACAGAGAGAAACAUAGCCAGGCUUGGUGGCUGGUGCUUGUAAUACCAGCACUUGGGAGGCAGAACCAAGAGGAUUACAUUCCUCAAUGGAAAUUUUGAGUUGACCAAUGAGCCUUGAUUCCUGUGUCUGGUGGAUUGCCCAUAGGCUACAGGUUAUGUUAUCUCUGCAGAGCUUGUAGCAAAAUAGAACACACCUUCCUCAAGUACCAGCUGGGACCGCGGCUCCAAAAGCAAGAUUCCAAGACAAGAUUACAUGUUUGGCAUUGAAGCCAACACAUGGUCACAACAAAGGGGCCACUAAUGUUCUACUCUUAUGUAAAAUACAUGUACAGGCUCUCUACGUCAGUAAAGGACGCUUUCACACGACUAAACCAUGGAAACACUAACAAGAAACUAGAAACAUGGACGUCCUCUUCUUUUUGCUGAAGGAGCACCCAAGGAUAGUCUUCAGGCCACAGAAACGAUCUCUUCCUUACAAACCCAAAUGUACAUAUGAACAAUGGUUUCCCCACCCAUCUUGUGGGUAAAAAUGACCUUUCAUCUAUUUGAACAAAAUAUAUUAUCUUAAUGGUCAUAAGAUUGCAUCCUUCUCAAGAGAAGAGGGCAAAGAACUAAAAUUACUGGGGUGAGCAAGAACCUCAGCACUGAGCCAGCGUGACCACACCAUAGAAUGGAGAGCCAAGCCUUGAGCCUGGUUUGCCCAGUAUCGGUGACAUAACAACAGUACAAACCGUCAUCUGGGAACAUAAAUCAAGACAAUAUCUCUGAAUGAAAGCCUCGGUAAGAUGGGGUGAUGCUGAGCAUUUUUGACAUGCUCUUUCAAGUUCAUCCACUAAGAAGUUCACGUGUGAAACUGUGUGUUAAUAAACCCCCUGA